GGCGGCGUGCUUAACACAUGCAAGUCGAGCGGUAAGGCCCUUCGGGGUACACGAGCGGCGAACGGGUGAGUAACACGUGGGUGAUCUGCCCUGUACUUCGGGAUAAGCCUGGGAAACUGGGUCUAAUACCGGAUAUGACCUUACAUCGCAUGGUGUUUGGUGGAAAGAUUUAUCGGUACAGGAUGGGCCCGCGGCCUAUCAGCUUGUUGGUGGGGUAAUGGCCUACCAAGGCGACGACGGGUAGCCGGCCUGAGAGGGCGACCGGCCACACUGGGACUGAGACACGGCCCAGACUCCUACGGGAGGCAGCAGUGGGGAAUAUUGCACAAUGGGCGAAAGCCUGAUGCAGCGACGCCGCGUGAGGGAUGACGGCCUUCGGGUUGUAAACCUCUUUCGACAGGGACGAAGCGCAAGUGACGGUACCUGUAGAAGAAGCACCGGCCAACUACGUGCCAGCAGCCGC
rnacentral:rRNA from 1 species